CGUGAGCAACCUGCCUUUCAGAGGGGGAUAACAGUUGGAAACGACUGCUAAUACCGCAUAACGCUGCGAUGGGGCAUCCCGAUGCAGCCAAAGGAGCAAUCCGCUGAAAGAUGGGCUCGCGGCCGAUUAGCUAGUUGGUGGGGCAACGGCCCACCAAGGCGACGAUCGGUAGCCGGACUGAGAGGUUGAUCGGCCACAUUGGGACUGAGACACGGCCCAGACUCCUACGGGAGGCAGCAG
rnacentral:rRNA from 1 species